GGGGCUAUAGCUCAGCUGGCUAGAGUACUUGAAUGGCAUUCAAGGGGUCGUGGGUUCGAAUCCCAUUAGCUCCACCA
rnacentral:tRNA from 1 species